AUGAACGCUGACGGCAUGCCUAACACAUGCCAGUCGAUCGGUAAGGCUCUUCGGAGUACACGAGAGGCGGACGGCUGAGUAACGCGUAGGAACACACCCUGCAGUGAGGGAUAAGACACCGAAAGGUGUUCUAAUACCGCAUACGGUCUUCGGAUUAAAGCAUUUAUGCGCUGAAGGAGUGGCCUGCGUCAUAUUAGAUAGUUGGUGAGGUAAUGGCUCACCAAGUCGAUGAUGUGUAGCUGGUCUGAGAGGAUGAUCAGCCAGACUGGAACUGAGACACGGUCCAGACUCCUACGGGAGGCAGCAGUGAGGAAUAUUUCACAAUGAGCGAAAGCUUGAUGGAGCAAUGCCGCGUGCAGGAUGAAGGCCCUCGGGUUGUAAACUGCUUUUAUAAGAGAAGAUUAUGACGGUAACUUAUGAAUAAGGGACGGCUAACUACGU
rnacentral:rRNA from 1 species